rnacentral:rRNA from 1 species
GUUGGGUUAAGUCCCGUAACGAGCGCAACCCUUGCCUUAGUUACCAGCACGUUAUGGUGGGCACUCUAAGGAGACUGCCGGUGGACAAACCGGAGGAAGGUGGGGAUGACGUCAAGUCAUCAUGGCCCUUACGGCCUGGGCUACACACGUGCUACAAUGGUCGGUACAAAGGGUUGCCAAGCCGCGAGGUGGAGCUAAUCCCAUAAAACCGAUCGUAGUCCGGAUCGCAGUCUGCAACUCGACUGCGUGAAGUCGGAAUCGCUAGUAAUCGUGAAUCAGAAUGUCACGGUGAAUACGUUCCCGGGCCUU